UCGACUUGUUCACAUUUGUUUCCUUUUCAGACUUUCAAUUCCGAUGAAAAUCGUUUGAAUCUGCUUCCUCGGGAAUCUCCGGCAGUGCUCAGAGGAGGAGGAGGAGAAGAAGUCGUGGUCUAUUCCGUCGAUAAGAAUUCACGACGGCAAGAAGAAGCCAGAGACCAAUUGUCUGCUCGAGUUCUUUCCGCCACCGACGAUGACGACGACAAUUC